rnacentral:rRNA from 1 species
CCCUUAGAUGUCCGGGGCCGCACGCGCGCUACACUGACCAGUGCAACAAGCAUCCGUCCUUGGCCGACAGGCUCGGGCAAUCUUUGAACGCUGGUCGUGAUGGGGAUAGACUUUUGCAAUUUUUGGUCUUCAACGAGGAAUUCCUAGUAAACGCAAGUCAUCAACUUGCAUUGAUUACGUCCCUGCCCUUUGUACACACCGCCCGUCGCACCUACCGAUUGAAUGGUCCGGUGAAGCCUCCGGAUUGGCGCGCACCUCGGUGCCGCCGAGAAGUUGGCUAAACCUUACCAUUUAGAGGAAGGUGAAGUCGUAACA